rnacentral:rRNA from 1 species
AGAGUUUGAUCCUGGCUCAGGACGAACGCUGGCGGCGUGCUUAACACAUGCAAGUCGAACGAGAAGCUAGUCUUCGGAUUAGUGGAAAGUGGCGAACGGGUGAGUAACACGUGGGCAAUCUGCCCUUGAGUGGGGAAUAAUCUUCCUAACGGAGGACUAAUUCCGCAUGACACAUAGAUGUCACAUGGUAUUUAUGUUAAAGGCUUCGUGCCGCUCAAGGAUGAGCCCGCGCCCCAUUAGCUUGUUGGUAGGGUAAUGGCCUACCAAGGCUACGAUAGGUAGCUGGUCUGAGAGGAUGAUCAGCCACACUGGGACUGAGAUACGGCCCAGACUCCUACGGGAGGCAGCAGUGAGGAAUAUUGCGCAAUGGACGAAAGUCUGACGCAGCAACGCCGCGUGAACGAUGAAGCCCUUCGGGGUGUAAAGUUCUGUUAGAGGGGAAGAACAGUCAGGGUAUAACCCUGGUUUGACGGUACCCUCAAAGAAAGCACCGGCUAACUCCGUGCCAGCAGCCGCGGUAAUACGGAGGGUGCAAGCGUUGUCCGGAUUUAUUGGGCGUAAAGCGUGUGUAGGCGGACCGAUAAGUCGGAAGUGAAAUCUCUACAGCUUAACUGAGAGUGGCCUUUCGAAACUGUCGAUCUAGAGUGCAGGAGAGGAUGAUGGAAUUCCUGGUGUAGCGGUGGAAUGCGUAGAUAUCAGGAAGAACACCGGUGGCGAAGGCGGUCAUCUGGCCUGCCACUGACGCUGAGACACGAAAGCGUGGGUAGCAAACAGGAUUAGAUACCCUGGUAGUCCACGCCGUAAACGAUGGGUACUAGGUGCCGGAAGAUUCGACCCUUUCGGUGCCGCAGCUAACGCAUUAAGUACCCCGCCUGGGGAGUACGAUCGCAAGGUUGAAACUCAAAGGAAUUGACGGGGGCCCGCACAAGCGGUGGAGCAUGUGGUUUAAUUCGAUGCAACGCGAAGAACCUUACCUGGGCUUGAACUGUGCCUGAAAUCCCCUGAAAGGGGGCCCUCUUCGGACAGGUACAGAGGUGCUGCAUGGCUGUCGUCAGCUCGUGUCGUGAGAUGUUGGGUUAAGUCCCGCAACGAGCGCAACCCUUAUCGUCUGUUGCCAUCAGGUAAUGCUGGGAACUCUGACGAGACUGCCCCGGUUAACGGGGAGGAAGGUGGGGAUGACGUCAAGUCCUCAUGGCCUUUAUGUCCAGGGCUACACACGUGCUACAAUGGCUGGUACAGAGGGUAGCAAGAUCGCGAGAUGGAGCCAAUCCCAGAAAGCCAGUCUCAGUUCGGAUUGCAGUCUGCAACUCGACUGCAUGAAGUCGGAAUCGCUAGUAAUCGCGAAUCAGCAGGUCGCGGUGAAUACGUUCCCGGGCCUUGUACACACCGCCCGUCACACCAUGGAAGCCGGUAGUACCCGAAGUCGCUGGGGGAACCUGCAAAGGACCUAAGCGCCUAAGGUAAGACUGGUAACUAGGGUGAAGUCGAAACAAGGUA